UACACUCCUACGGGAGGCAGCAGUGGGGAAUAUUGGACAAUGGGCGCAAGCCUGAUCCAGCCAUGCCGCGUGAGUGAUGAAGGCCCUAGGGUUGUAAAGCUCUUUCACCGGUGAAGAUAAUGACGGUAACCGGAGAAGAAGCCCCGGCUAACUUCGUGCCAGCAGCCGCGGUAAUACGAAGGGGGCUAGCGUUGUUCGGAUUUACUGGGCGUAAAGCGCACGUAGGCGGACUAUUAAGUCAGGGGUGAAAUCCCGGGGCUCAACCCCGGAACUGCCUUUGAUACUGGUAGUCUUGAGUUCGAGAGAGGUGAGUGGAAUUCCGAGUGUAGAGGUGAAAUUCGUAGAUAUUCGGAGGAACACCAGUGGCGAAGGCGGCUCACUGGCUCGAUACUGACGCUGAGGUGCGAAAGCGUGGGGAGCAAACAGGAUUAGAUACCCCAGUAGUCCCA
rnacentral:rRNA from 1 species